GGAAUAUAAAUUCUAUCUAAACUAGGAGAAAACUCCAAAUAGGACACAUGUACAUGGAUUGACCACUUACAACAUUGAUAAAGUUCAUUACUGAAAAAUAGAUACAAUAGACUUUUAGAAGUAAAUCAACAUUUAAAUACAAAGAAAGUUUUUUUGUCUUAACUAAUUAUAAAUCUUACCAAAACUAAAACCAAUUAUGUAAUUUGCAUAACAAAAUCUAUACUUCUAUCUGGUAUCUGGGAAUUUGGCCUCGUAGAUUUGUGGCAUCAUUGGUGUUGCAAUGAUCAUCUUGCCAGCAAACCAUCUUCCAUGAAGA
rnacentral:misc_RNA from 1 species